GGGGUUAUAGCUCAGUAGUAGAGUGCUUGCCUAGCAUGCUUAUGUACUGGGUUCAAUCCCCAGUACUCCCC
rnacentral:tRNA from 2 species